UGUAAAUGAUCAUCAUAAAUAUAGAAAAGUCAUCAGCAGUCUGGCGCUGAGAAAAGAAAAGAAAUAGAAUAAAAAGCCCAACAUGAAUCCUGUGCCUCACUUCCAGAGGACGAGUGUGAGUGUUGUCUAAUUUCCACGACAAUUUGGCGUUUCCUGGCUGGGCUGCGCGAGUCUUUUCAGAUUUUCUGGACAACAAGCAAACCAGAGGACGCUCGUGAAAAAGUUUCACCCUGAAAUCCGUGUUGACGCGCAGGUAAAAGCAGCGCUUCAAGCUCCAGCCAAGGGACCGCUGCAUGGUGACUUAUCUGUGCAUACUAAGGUAGUUUGGUGUUCCACAAGGUUCUGUUUUAGGCCCACUGCUCUUCUUUUUAUAUAUGCUACCUCUGGGUAAAAAAAAAAUUGUUAUUGUUAUCUAUCAUGCUUUUGUUAUCUCUAGGUUGAAUUAUUGUAAUGUCCUACUGUUUGGAUGUUCCAGUAGGUGCAUAAACAAGCUCCAGUUAGUCCAGAAUGCAACAGCCAGAGUCCUUAGAAUCAGAAGAUAUGAUCACAUCACCCCGAUCUUAUUCACACUGCACUGGCUCCCAGUAAAAUUUCACAUUAAUUAAAAAAAUACAACUAUUGACCUAUAAAGCACUGAAUGCUCUCCCACCAGAGUACCUGAGCAAAACUUUCUUCUUAAUUAUGAUCUGCCAUGCCUACUUUGAUCAAAAGGUGCAGGCUGUUUGUUGGUACCUCAAACAGUGAAGGCUACAUCAGGGGGCAGAGCUUUCUCUUACAAAGCUCCACAGUUAUGGAACAGCCUUCCAAUUAGUGUUCAGGACUCAGACACAACCUUAGUGUUUAAGUUUAGGCUCAAAACACAUUUGUUUAGUCAAGCCUUUUGUUAACAGUUUUUCUUAGAUAAAGUAGCAGAUCUGGAGGAUCAUGGUCAUUCUCCUCUGAUCUCUCUCUCAAGAUGUUUCAGCCUGCAGACCUUACACACACAAGAUGUUUUUUGUUUUUCCACACUAUUCUGUGUAAACUCUAAGGACUGUUAUGUGUGAAAUUCCCAGAGAUCAGCAGUUUCUGAAAUACGCAAACAAACCCAUCUGGUGCCAACAACCAUGCCACAAUAAAAAUAACUGCAUGAAUGUGUGUCCGCCCACCUUGUGCCCCAAGUUCCCUGGGAUAGGCUCCAGGCUCCCCCACGACCCUGUGUAAGAUAAGCAGUAUUGAAAAUUGAUGGAUGAAUGUGCAGGUGCACAGGUGUUCCUGUGGAUGGAUUCAUGACUUCCAUCUUCCAGGCUCAAAGGAGCUCAUUGUGUCCAGAAGUAAGGUCUCUGCGUGGAGUAGAGGCACGGGAUGACCCCCUAUCCGUACUCUCCGAGCUGGAGCUCAGGUG